rnacentral:rRNA from 1 species
AUGUGCAUGGAAAACAAAGAACCUCAUUGCAUACUUACAGAUCAAGACCAAGCAAUGGCAAAUGCUCUUCCGGGAGUGUUUCCAAACACUAUUCAUAGGCUAUGCAGAUGGCAUGUUUUGCAUGGUCACAAAGACAGCUUGAAGGUGUUGUAUAACUUGUAUGAUGGUUUGAAAGAGAAGUUGUUGACAAUAAUAAAUCAUCCCCUCACCCCCAUGGAGUUUGAGAAGGCAUGGAUGGAGAUGGUGAAUGAAUAUGGACUCGAGUCAGAUCCUACAAUUGGCAGUUUGUAUGAUCUGCGUACAAGAUGGAUCGCCGCAUACUUUAAGGAUGUUUAUUGUGGGAAAAUGACAUCUACACAACGCAGUGAGAGCACAAACAGAAUUGCGAAAAGAAACCACAUUGACCCUACGACACCUCUGCACGUGUUUGCAAGAAAAAUGUUUCAGGUUUUGCAAGGGAGAAAAGAAGCAGAAGCCCGAGAGACCAUGGAAUCUCAGGCCCGGCCAAAAACAGUAACAAAUUACCCUCUGGAACAUCAGUUGAGCAGAAUCUAUACCCGUGCAGUAUUCAGGAAAUACAAAGAAGCAUAUGUUUAUGGAACCUCUUUUCUUACAAAGAAAGUUGGCGCUGUGAUGACAAAUGAGCAGAUUCAGAAACUUCCAAGCAAAUAUGUGUAUAGAAGGUACACAAGGAAUGCAAAGAUUGACCCACCAUAUGACAGGAAUGACACUCUCCAGGUUGGAGCCGAUGGGACAUCAAAUAGUGGAAAGCACUUAAAUAUGCUCAGACUGGCUUAUGCCUGUGUUAGAGCGGGGGACAGAUCAACAGUUGGAUAUGAAAGAGUCAUUCAUGUGAUGACAGAACUUAGGGAUCAGGUUGAGGCACUUCCUCCUGAUGUCAUGCCUGUGUUUGAUUAUGGAGGUUGCAGUGAUCCAGCUGGCCGUGAGCUAGAUAAUUUUAAAGCACCACCGAUUGCAAAAACAAAGGGUUGUAGAUCAGAAGAAGGGCGUAGGAUCGGCGCACCCGGGCCAAAGAAGUGCACAAGAAGAUGCAGCAAUUGCGGCCUUAUGGCAGGUCACAAUAGGGCGUCAUGCGAAGAACGAACAGAAAGCUUCGCAGUUGGUGGCAGCAGAGCAGCCCAGGGGAGGGGCAGGGGCAGGGGUAGGGGUAGGGGCAGGGGUAGGGGUAGGGGAAGGGGAACGACAACUCGCCGCCGUUUGAUACAUGAUGAGGUGGACGAAGAUGAAGACUUAGAUUAUCAAGAAGAAGAUGAUCUGCUAGGUGAUGAAUAA